AUACGUGUAGGGUGGAGAUGCACAACUGUUGGUCUGCGUAGCAAUUUGCUUUACCAAGACGCGUUACCCGUCCGCUACCAACAGCUGAUUCCUCCUCCUGACUUAAUGCUUACUGGAAAUCACAGCAAGCAGGAGACGUCCGUCGCGGACCAGCAAAAUGCUGCCGCCGCUUGACACUGGAGCGCUUUACGACCGCACCAGCGACGCCCCUGACACCGACAACUGAAGUCGUGUGUGCCGAACGCCGCUUCCGCUAGCACCGGAAAUCGA
rfam:Pseudomonas sp. TTT2014-080ASC scaffold_0, whole genome shotgun sequence.